GCUCCCAGCAUGCAUUGCCAAUCUGCACACCAGCUUGACCAACAUGGACUGAGAUGCACUCACGCUUGGCUGUGGCCGGCUGCUGGCAGCGAUGGG